ACCAACUAGUUUAUGCAUAUAAUUGCACCAACGGGUCGAAACGGGUUGUUGAUAGAAAAUAGUAGAAUGGAUGUGUAAAAACCAAGGUGUUAAGAAAUGGUAUGAAAUGUUUAACAUAUGAAGCAAGUUGCCUAACUUAGAAAAGGUUAUCAUUCUAAGUAUGAAAUUUUGAAAGAAUAACGAACAUGAUGUAAAUACAUAAUUAUGCAUGCUAGAAGCUCAUGUAUGACUGUUGUGAUGAUGGAAUGAUAAAUUGUUAGAUUGAUUAGCAUUGUAGUAUUAUGAUACAUGUUGAACUCGUUAAGCGAUUGACACGUGAAUAGAAGUGUGAUUAGUGAUGCGUAUGAUUAUGUAUACUAACUAUUGAAUGGAUGUAAUGGAAUGAGAUAAUAGGAACGUGUCAAGGAGAGGUCAAGCAUAGGAGGAUAACGGAUCAAGAUAAGGCAAGGUGACAAAUACACUUAUUGGAGUACUCGAGGUAAGUGAAUUUCGAUUCACUUUUUAGUAGGUUUAAUAGAUUUUAAUACUUAUGUUUACGAAACAUCAUGAAAGAACAUGUAAUAAUCAGAAGUACAAAGCCAAUAAUGCCUCAUUAUUGAAGAAGGUUGUAUUUAAGCCGAAAGUAAAUUGGUGGGUUUAAACGGGUCGAAUUUUAUGUGCAUAUGUUGCGUAAUGUAAUGAAAUUCGUUAUGGUUAAGACCUUGGGUAAGAAUUUUAGUCAUUAUGUAAGGGGAACAUUUCCAGGACCAUUAGGAACAAGUUUUAUAUGAUUCGGUUGUCGGUUAGUGAAUGAACGGGUUGUUUCGUGUUAGUGUAGGAAAUUUUGUAAGUAUAUGUGUAUAGGAAUCCAAAGGCCACGUGGGUUGAAUCAUAGAUUGUCUAUACUAUGUAAAGUUGUGAAUGUGACAUUCCGGCAUAAACCUACAUGUAAAAGAAGCUUGUGUAUAUAUUCGUGAUUAAUUGAUUGUGCGUAGGAAGGAACAUUGGCAUGUAUGAAGGUACGCAUAUAUAUAUAUAAGUAUAUAUAUAUAUAUGUAUGCAUGUAUGAUAAUAAGUACGUAGGUGUGAAUGUAUGUGUGAAUGAAUGUUCAAUGCUUAAGACAUAUGCAUGAACGUAUCAAAGUGUUCGAGUAUUUAUGGAUACUAAUGAUGUGCGUUGAGUUGGAAUGUAAUGUAGGUAUGGGAUCGUUGGCUUCAUGAAGAAAUGGAGCUGGAUUUGGAUAAGAGUAUUUAAGAAAGCGCUUGGACAAUUCCACGACUACUUUAUAGAAUGCUCUACGAAAUUUUAUUAUAUAGUUUAAUGUUGAAUGGUAUGUUAAUGACUAAUGGUUUGGUUGUACGUGGUGUCCACAGGUAUCGCUUGGGUUUUCUCUACAUUUAUUGAAGUGAAGCGGACUUAGUUCGAGUUGAGAGCAAGGAUUGUACGGGGUAGAAUGGUCACAUAGUGUAACUCAUAUAGGUUUUGAAGUAUUAAUGUUAUAAAACGUUAUAAAUCCGUUUUAAUGAAUAUAUGGCAUUUCGCAUUUGAACCUUCAUGUGUUUGAUAUGUCUAUUAAAGAACGAAAUUUUUGGGCUCUUGUUUUCCGCUGCGUUGUAUUUUAAGUUAUUACGCGUUAGUCUUACAGGGAAUUGUUCUUAUUACGAACGGGUCAUGCCCGAAUUUUGUUAAAUAAUAGUAUGAUAAUAUUACAUUUUGGAAUGUGUAAUUUGGGCGUAACAAGUUGGUAUCAGAGCCCUGGUUUGAGGGAAAUCAAGUAUGAGGAGGCAAAUACUUGAACUCAAACCUGUGUGCUCUUGUGACGAGGAACCCGUACAAUCCAAGACUCGAUCAAGAUCUAAAGGUAGAAGCAAAUGUAAGUAUGAAUUUAAGUAUGUUUAUGAAGAAACUAACAUUAUGUUGUGUGUAAGAUAAGCAUAGUUGUUUGGAUGAGGAUGAUCCACGACUGUGGUCUCGGACUGACACCAAGGCAUGUAAUAAGACCAUUGCCCAGAUAUCAUAAUGUGAUAAACCUAUCAAGGUCAGUGGAAGAAUGUUCAUAAGCGAAAGCUUGUCACACGGAUGAAUGAGGUCAAUACGAAACAUGGUAUGGAUGGUGACGAAGAGGACCGACUCGUUGCUGCAUGUUCAAGUACUGCACCAAGGUAGUAAGGUUAGCAAAUUAUUUAAUAUAUGAAUGUACGAUGCUCGAAUCCCUCAAACCUACGCUCUCGUGAAAGUGUGUUCGUUUCUAAGCGCCACGCAAGUAAGUGAUUUAAGGAUUUCGAGCUAUGCUUUUAGAUGAAAACGGAAAUGGGUUAUGGAUAAAUUACUAUUAUAACCUGGGUUGGGACGUUAUGGGUUGUUAUGGAAGGUUUCGGGACUGCCCGAGACCAUUUCAGGUUGGAAAAAGGACCCGGGAACAAAAAAAAAA